GGUNGCGCANUCACUUGNCACCUAAAUAGAGACUAGUAUGAACGGUCUAAUGAGGACUAUCCUGUCUCCUACAGAAAAUCCGUAAAACUGAACCCCCAGUUCAAAUGCUGGGCUAACCCUACAAGACGAGAAGACCCUGUGGAGCUUUUAAACAAACUGCAACCCCCACNUGCAGAAAAGUUUUUAGUUGGGGCGACUCUGGAGACAAAAACAACCCCCAGGCACAGGACCACCCCCCCCCUAACAUGGCCAACAAGCCCACAAACAACUGACCCGGUUCCAACCGAAAAACGAACCAAGUUACCCCAGGGAUAACAGCGCCAUCUUCUUUUAGAGUCCCUAUCAACAAGAAGGUUUACGACCUCGAUGUUGGAUCAGGACACCCAAAUGGUGCAGCCGCUAUUAAAGGUUCGUUUGUUCAACGAUUAACAGUCCUACGUGAUCUGAGUUCAGACCGGA
rnacentral:rRNA from 1 species